UAGUGUUACAGCUCUUUUAGAAUUUGUCUAGCAGGUUUUCCGGUAAAAACCGGAAAACCCUC
rnacentral:snRNA from 1 species